CAGCAGCCGCGGGAAUACGAAGGGUGCAAGCGUUACUCGGAAUUACUGGGCGUAAAGCGUGCGUAGGUGGUGGUUUAAGUCCGUUGUGAAAGCCCUGGGCUCAACCUGGGAAUUGCAGUGGAUACUGGCUCGCUAGAGUGUGUCAGAGGAUGGUGGAAUUCCCGGUGUAGCGGUGAAAUGCGUAGAGAUCGGGAGGAACAUCAGUGGCGAAGGCGGCCAUCUGGGACAACACUGACGCUGAGGCACGAAAGCGUGGGGAGCAAACAGGAUUAGAUACCCCGGUAGUCCCUGUCUCUUAUAC
rnacentral:rRNA from 1 species